GCUUCGAGGCAGGGUGAAAUUCCCUACCGGCGGUAAAGCCCGCAAGCCCUGAUUUUGGGCAGAUUUGGUGAAAUUCCAAAGCCGACAGUACAGUCUGGAUAGGAGAACGC
rnacentral:ncRNA from 1 species